AUUGAACGCUGGCGGCAGGCCUAACACAUGCAAGUCGAGCGAGCGGCGGACGGGUGAGUAAUGUCUGGGAAACUGCCUUAUGGAGGGGGAUAACUACUGGAAACGGUAGCUAAUCCCGCAUACCAUCAGAUGUGCCCAGAUGGGAUUAGCUAGUAGGUGGGGUAACGGCUCACCUAGGCGACGAUCCCUAGCUGGUCUGAGAGGAUGACCAGACACACUGGAAAUGAGACACGGGCCAGACUACUACGGGAGGCAGCAGUGGGGAAUAUUUCACAAGGGGCGCAAGCCUGAUGCAGCCAUGCCGCGUGUGUGAAGAAGGCCGUCGGGUUGUAAAGCACUUUCAGCGUGGAGGCGUUACCCGCAGAAGAAGCACCGGCUAACUCCGUGCCAGCAGCCGCGGUAAUAC
rnacentral:rRNA from 1 species